rnacentral:rRNA from 1 species
AUAGCGGAGGAAAAGAAACCAACUGGGAUUACCUUAGUAACGGCGAGUGAAGCGGUAAAAGCUCAAAUUUGAAAUCUGGUACUUUCAGUGCCCGAGUUGUAAUUUGUAGAAUUUGUCUUUGAUUAGGUCCUUGUCUAUGUUCCUUGGAACAGGACGUCAUAGAGGGUGAGAAUCCCGUUUGGCGAGGAUACCUUUUCUCUGUAAGACUUUUUCGAAGAGUCGAGUUGUUUGGGAAUGCAGCUCAAAGUGGGUGGUAAAUUCCAUCUAAAGCUAAAUAUUGGCGAGAGACCGAUAGCGAACAAGUACAGUGAUGGAAAGAUGAAAAGAACUUUGAAAAGAGAGUGAAAAAGUACGUGAAAUUGUUGAAAGGGAAGGGCAUUUGAUCAGACAUGGUGUUUUUUGCAUGCACUCGCCUCUCGUGGGCUUGGGCCUCUCAAAAAUUUCACUGGGCCAACAUCAAUUCUGGCAGCAGGAUAAAUCAUUAAGAAUGUAGCUACUUCGGUAGUGUUAUAGCUUUUUGGAAUACUGUUAGCCGGGAUUGAGGACUGCGCUUCGGCAAGGAUGUUGGCAUAAUGGUUAAAUGCCGCCCGUCUUGAAACACCGGAAC